rnacentral:tRNA from 1 species
GACAGUGGGCACAGUGGGUAGGAACUGGGCUUGUAACCAAAAGGUCACGGGUUCGAUUCCCGGGUAGGACACUGCCG